GGGGGCGGCGCCUACCAUGCAAGUCGAGCGCAAUCCUUCGGGAUCGAGCGGCGGACGGGUUAGUAACGCGUGGGAACAUACCCUUCUCUAAGGAAUAGCCUCGGGAAACUGAGAGUAAUACCUUAUACGCCCUUCGGGGGAAAGAUUUAUCGGAGAAGGAUUGGCCCGCGUAAGAUUAGAUAGUUGGUGGGGUAAGGGCCUACCAAGUCUACGAUCUUUAGCUGGUUUGAGAGGAUGAUCAGCAACACUGGGACUGAGACACGGCCCAGACUCCUACGGGAGGCAGCAGUGGGGAAUCUUAGACAAUGGGCGAAAGCCUGAUCUAGCGAUGCCGCGUGUGUGACGAAGGCCUUAGGGUCGUAAAGCACUUUCGCCAAGGAUGAUAAUGACAGUACUUGGUAAAGAAACCCCGGCUAACUCCGUGCCAGCAGCCGCGGUAAC
rnacentral:rRNA from 1 species